rnacentral:misc_RNA from 1 species
UCUCCGUUGGUGAACCAGCGGAGGGAUCAUUACCGAGUUUACAACUCCCAAACCCCUGUGAACGUACCAUUUGUUGCCUCGGCGGUGCCUGCUUCGGCAGCCCGCCAGAGGACCCAAACCCUUGAUUUUAUACAGUAUCUUCUGAGUAAAUGAUUAAAUAAAUCAAAACUUUCAACAACGGAUCUCUUGGUUCUG